UACGGGGGGGGCAAGCGUUGUUCGGAAUUACUGGGCGUAAAGGGCUCGUAGGCGGCCAACUAAGUCGGAUGUGAAAUCCCCAGGCUUAACCUGGGAACUGCAUCCGAUACUGGAUGGCUUGAAUUCGGGAGAGGGAUGCAGAAUUCCAGGUGUAGCGGUGAAAUGCGUAGAUAUCUGGAGGAAUACCGGUGGCGAAGGCGGCAUCCUGGACCGGCAUUGACGCUGAGGAGCGAAAGCCAGGGGAGCAAACGGG
rnacentral:rRNA from 1 species